rnacentral:rRNA from 1 species
UACGUAGGGGGCUAGCGUUGUCCGGAAUCAUUGGGCGUAAAGAGCUCGUAGGCGGUCUGUCGCGUCUGCUGUGAAAACUCAGGGCUUAACCCUGAGCUUGCAGUGGGUACGGGCAGACUAGAGUGCGGUAGGGGAGACUGGAAUUCCUGGUGUAGCGGUGAAAUGCGCAGAUAUCAGGAGGAACACCGGUGGCGAAGGCGGGUCUCUGGGCCGAUACUGACGCUGGAGGAGCGAAAGCCGUGGGGAGCGAACAGG